rnacentral:rRNA from 1 species
GACGAAGGACCCGAGCGUUAUCCGGAUUCAUUGGGUUUAAAGGGUGCGUAGGCGGAUUGAUAAGUCAGUGGUGAAAGCCUGUUACUUAACAACAGAACUGCCAUUGAUACUGUUGAUCUUGAAUAUGUUUGAUGUGGGCGGAAUAUGACAUGUAGCGGUGAAAUGCUUAGAUAUGUCAUAGAACACCGAUUGCGAAGGCAGCUCACAAAACCAUUAUUGACGCUGAGGCACGAAAGCGUGGGGAUCAAACAGG